rnacentral:rRNA from 1 species
CACCGCGGUUAAACGAGAGGCCCUAGUUGAUAUUAUUACGGCGUAAAGGGUGGUUAAGGAUAAAACAUUAAUAAAGCCAAAUGGCCCUUUGGCCGUCAUACGCUUCUAGGUGUCCGAAGUCCAACCCCACGAAAGUAGCUUUAAUAAGACCCACCUGACCCCACGAAAGCUGAGAAACAAACUGGGAUUAGAUACCCCACUAUGCUCAGCCAUAAACCUAGACGUCAACCUACAAUUAGACGUUCGCCAGGGUACUACGAGCAUUAGCUUGAAACCCAAAGGACCUGACGGUGCCUUAGACCCCCCUAGAGGAGCCUGUUCUAGAACCGAUAACCCCCGUUAAACCUCACCACUUCUAGCCAUCCCAGCCUAUAUACCGCCGUCGCCAGCUUACCCUGUGAAGGCAAUAAAAGUAAGCAAAAUGGGCACAACCCAGAACGUCAGGUCGAGGUGUAGCGUACGAAGCGGGAAGAAAUGGGCUACAUUUUCUAUCUACCAGAACACUACGAACACGCAACAUGAAAUAGUGCUUGAAGGAGGAUUUAGUAGUAAAAAGGAAGCAGAGUGUCCUUUUGAACCCGGCUCUAAGGCGCGUACACACCGCCCGUCACUCUCCCCUGUCAACACGCAUUUAAGAUACAUAACACUAAAGCACUGACAAGGGGAGGCAAGUCGUAACAUGGUAAGUGUACCGGAAGGUGCACUUGGAUUAACCCAGGGUGUGGCUGAG